GGUCCGUCCAGCCACUCAGCAGCCAGAGCCUCAGAGCCAGCUCCAGUGCAGGCACCAACCUCCAGCUUCUGCUCUUAAUGUGUGAUGCGGGGCCCCCAGCUAGGUCGGCUCUUCCAUGCCCAGCAUGACAGCACAGGGGAGGACCUGGUGAACUUCACUCAGCCAGAGACCACGGAGUUCAUAUUGGAGCUGCUGGCCAGUCUGUACUCAUGUGGGGACCAGAACACACUGGUGGAGCAGUUGGCAGAAGAGGCACAGCGGUGCGACGAGAUGCUGCGCAUGCACCACAUGCUGAAGGAGGUACCAUCAUCAGGGACAUCAACACGACCACCGUCAGCCUGCCCCUAAGCCUGCAUGUGGACGACUCCUGGCUGCAGGUCGCCCAAGUCCAGCCCCGGGAUGCCCAGCCCCCGCCAUGUCCCCAGCCCAGCCUGGGUUGCGGGCCCGGCUUCUGGGCUUCCUGCUGCUGGGUGCGCCCUUGGGGAAGUGCCACCCCGUAUCCUCCAGACCAGAGGCUUCCCCUGAUCCCUUCGGCCCUACUCGCCAGGUGCUCUCAUGCCCCACUCGGGAUCACCAACAGCAACCAUGUGCCUAGAGUUAACUGUGUCAAGAAGAGCAUGCUUCAAGUGGCGGGAGUGAGCAAUUCAACUUGUGGAGGAAUGAGAAAUGAUAGUAUUGAGACAAGAAACACAAAACCCAGGGUAAGAUAGGAAUCACUGAAAGUCAGGCAAAGGAACUGGCAUCCAGAAAUGAGUCAGGCUUUGCCAACCUCUGGCCCUACACGUGGCUCUUUGGAGAGGAAAAAAUUAAGUCAGACCCGAGGGCACAGAUCUUAAGGGAAUGCCGGCAGCUCUAGGCUGUCUGUGAGAGUCCAGAUUUGCUGCUUCAUCCUGGGGCUUUAGGCAAGUCCCUUUCCCUCCGAGAGCCCCAGUAUCUCCUCUAUCAAAUGAUGAUGUUCUGCCUUUCUCCUAGGAUGGCUGUGGAGAUCCUGGGAGGCAGUGGCCAUAGGGAUGCUAUGUUAACUGCAGAUGCAGCCAUAGGAGCCCUUUGCUAACUGCCAACGUGAGUUCAGACUCUUCAAGCUAUUUGGCACCCAGGUGUGUGGUAAGGUGUGACAUGUGGGAUGUAAGGUUUGAUGCCUGCUCCGACUCCGGUCUUGCUAACACACACUAAACAUUUGACAAAUCCUGACCCUACCUUGGGGAAAAGGGCAGUCUGGGAGAGCUUCUUCAAGGCAGAUUGGCUUCAAUGCAGUCCGGGGCAUGACUGAGAUAGGCUUACGUGGUGAGGAAUUGGGGGAUAACUGGGUAAAGAGCUGCCAUGGGCAGAGGUGUAGUGUGGGUC
rnacentral:lncRNA from 1 species